rnacentral:sRNA from 1 species
AUUUAUCGGUAGGUGAGGUUACCAUAAGGAUACGGGUUGCUGCCGCAAAAUAGUGGAGACACUAAUAGUUGGUUAGCAGAAUACGUCGAUUCAAGGCGUAUUUUAAUGCAAUUACAAGCCUUAUAGAGCUAAAACUUGAACGAAGUA